rnacentral:rRNA from 1 species
GACGAACGCUGGCGGCGUGCUUAACACAUGCAAGUCGAACGGAAAGGCCCUGCUUUUUUGGGGUGCUCGAGUGGCGAACGGGUGAGUAACCCGUGAGUAACCUGCCCUUGACUUUGGGAUAACUUCAGGAAACUGGGGCUAAUACCGGCGAGGAGCUCCUGCUGCAUGGUGGGGGUUGGACAGUUUCGGCGGAUGGGGAUGGACUCGCGGCUAAUCAGCUUGUUGGUGGGGUAGUGGCUAACCAAGGCUUUGACGGGUAGCCGGCAUGAGUGGGUGAACGGGCACAUGGGGACUGAGAGACGCCCCAGACGCCAACGGUGGACAGCAGUGGGGAAUAUGGCACAAUGGGCGGAAGCCUGAUGCAGCAAUGUUCCGUGCGUGAUGACGGUCUUCGGGUUGGAAACCGCUUUAGCCUGUGACGAUGCGUGAUUGACGGUAAUGGGUAAAGAAGCACCGGCUAACUACGUG